AGUUGCAAGUUAUUGUGGUUUUUACAUUACCAUAUAAGAACAAAAGGUGCCUUCUGAUUUUAACAGCUAAAAAUCACAGCAUCCCCAUGUCUGUAAAAAUAAGGAAGUGUUUUGCUCUGAGCAAAAAUAUGAAAGUUAUGAUUUAUAAAGUUCAGACAGAGGAAGUAUGUAGCAACUCUUACUUGAAACAAUGAAAGAAGAGUGAGGGAUGUCUGAUGCUUCUCCUAGGUCAGCUGGGAGUUCUCUCCCCUCACAUUUGGAACUGCAAAUCUUUGCUUUUCCCAGGAGCAAAUGACAAAGCCAGCCUACUGAGCAGAGCAAUUCUGGGGUAUUUUUUCUGUUGUGCUGUGCAGGAUGUGGACCCACCCUUGCAACAGGCAAGAGUGAGGCACAUGGCCAGGCAGCUGUUUAGCUGCUAGUCCCUAAGAAAGGGUGUACUGAAAGCAGCAGCAAUGCCUUCAUGCUGAAAGGAAAACUAAAUAGAUCCUGCCCACCACUGUCUCCCAGUUCUGCUACUGUCACUGCAGGGCUGGACUCUGCUGCAGCUGAGAGCAAAGCACAGCACACUCAAAAAGAGGAGAGGAAGAGGGAGCACAGACCCUAGAUACAGAAUGUCCCGUUCAGCAAUGUGGGGUGGGCAAGGUAUUGCAAUGCUGACAUUUCCCAUGAAGAAGACACUGAAGCAUGCUGAAAAUAGAACCAUCUUGAGAAAGACAUCAGGCAGCUGCCUCACUGUCUGCCAGCCCUUAGGAUGUGACUUCUUCUAUCUCAGACUCUGUUAGCAGGCACAGAGAGAGAGAAUACUUAGCAACAAGUAUGUACAUACACAGAUUUCCAGCCUAUGGCCUGGCAAAAUCUCACAAUUUUUAGAUUUCCAUUGUAAAGUGGAGACUAGAGUUUAUAACAUUCCAGUGUGGGAGACUUUUCACAGCCUGGAAAAAUGAUAUUCUCUUCAUUACUUUUAUCCAUGUUUGUAUACUUUUAUUAAUGAGUUUCUUCAGUGUACAAAGCCCCAUGGUCCUUGUUCUGGUGUCAGAACCUAUUGCCAAAAAUAAACCUAGGAAAAGAGUUAUCAGAUCUUCAUAUAAUUAUCAUCCAUUCUGUUUUGGAGCUGGAAAAAACUGAUUGAAAAUGAGCACUGCUGGCUUCUCACACUUGGCUUUUACAUCUUGUCUAGAUUUAAUAUUAUAGACAGAUUACCCUGUGGCAUCCAGCAGGGUCCACUAUAGUAGAAAAUAAACUGUGAGGUCCCAUUUCCUCUUUCAUUAUGAUUCAGCAAAAUUUAUGUUCAAUUUAUAAUUUUUAUAUGCUCAGCAGUUAUCUCUUGCCGUGUCAUUAGUUUCUACUUUUUCACUAGUUUCCCAGUACUGAAAUUUCAGACAUAUCUUCAGGAUGUUUUUAUACUCAGUGGGCAGUAGAUUAAGAAGUACUCAUUUAAUAGAUUAAUAAAUAAACCUGUUAGGUAGCAUCAUACCUCACUGAGAUUUCGACUCAGGAGUUUUGAGUUCAGAAACUUUUCCUGAAGAUUGGCUGCUAUGACAUUUAUUUCCAACUGACAUAUCUUUGGGGAUAAUUAAUUCAAGUCAAUAAGCAUCAGUAUAUUCCAAUGUAAUUAUACUUAUAUGAAGAACGUGUCCUCUGAUUUAGGCCUUGUCAGAUUUUACUGCUUACAGAAUGGCAUGGCAUGGCAUGGGAAAGAUGCAGUAGAGAUUCAGGGGGAUAACAAGAUGCACUGCAGAGUGAAAUUGCAUCUUGAUAAGUAAUCUGUACCACCACUAAAUUAAGAUUAAAAGCAUGACUCUGAGUAACUUACUUAUUUCCCUAACAACACGAAGCUCACAGAAAAAAGCAAACAACUCCAGUUAGUGAGCCCUGGGAGGUUGGACAGAGCUCAGAGCUGCUCAGCUUCUGCUCCUGUAGGAAACCUCCUGCUGUGAGUCGAGGACCUGGAGACCAGGCUCAGAAGCCUACACAGACAGAGGUGUCUCCUUGUGCCUGGGGACAGGUCACUGCAGCUCCUUCUCUGGUGAUUGGGGUCCCUGAUAACCUGAUUGGGAACUGGGAGGUGCUCAGGGCCAUGGGAGGGACCAGGAAUGAGCAGGAUCUGCAUGGAUGUGCUGAUUCUCUGGCAGAGCAUAGCCCAUGUAAACUAAGUCCAGACACAGCUGGGAGAGCAGAGGAGCAGUGUGUGUGAGCCUGUCCCACCCUGUGCCUGGGCAGGGGCUCACCCACACUGCAAGGGACACACCUCCAAGGACGUGUUGAGGUCAGGAGGGACCUUUUUGCCUGUGGAUCCUUAAUGACUGAUAAAGAAUGUGUAGCCUCAUACUGAAGAUCCCUGGGUAAAAUAAGACCUCUCAGGAAUGCUGGCAUAAGACAAGAAGAAAUGCCAGAACAUUAAUUCUCUGGUGCAAGCUUCUCUCUGUGACACUUUUGCUAAGAUGUGGCUGAACACUGGAUCCUGGAGAUGCAUACGUCAGAGAAAGAAACAUGAGCACCAGGUUCUGGAUGAGGAGGUGACAUUCAGGAUGCCCUUUCCCUCACAUGCCAAAGUAGCUGAAAAUCUUCAGUUACCAAACAGGUGAGUGAGGUGGACAGGCUCUGAUGGCAACGGAAGGAGAAGGAAAAGGCAAAAGGAGCUGGACAAAGUCAUGGAAGGAGAAGAAAUGAGAACAGCAAUAUGAAAUAAAAUUAGCUUGAUUAAUUGGCUUGUUUCUCUUGACUGCACUUGCAAGAGAAGCAGAGAGAGAUUACACUAUGGAAAUAGAUUUGCUUAGAUUUGCACAACUAGCCUUUUUUUUCCUCUAAGUGAAUGUUGCAAUUAUAUAAAAUGUGUGCCACCUUUCUUCAUAAAACAAGAAGGAUAUCAGAACAUUAAACCCAAGUUGUACAAGGCAUUUUCAAGUGCAGAAAAAGUUUUCAGUACUGAUACCAGAUGUUUUGUAUUAGUACUUACCAUAUUCAUUAUUUAUAUUAGAAGGAGAGGUUCUCAAAAUUUCCUUUCAGUUUUGAGAGGAUACACAUUAAGAAUAGUAAAACCUUGGUUUCUCAUGGGUGUUCUACAUGUGUCCUAAUAAUAUGAUAUGGACCUUCAAUAAAGCUGUAACUCCCAGGAGAACAUACAGGACUAGAAUAAUCUAUUUAAAGAUGGCUUUGUUUGAAAUUAUUAGUUUAGACUGAAAAUUGCAGCAAGUUGUAAGAAUCCUAAAAAAUCCCUGUAAAAUAAAACAUUCAGUAAGUGUGAUAUGAAUUUAGAAUCCUAAGGAGUAUGAUAAUUUUCCGAAGUACAGCAUAUUAUU